rnacentral:rRNA from 1 species
UAGAUCCCUUGUAGUCCACGCGUUAACGAUGAUAUUAGGUUCGGGGGACCAAGGUCUNCGGGUGCCGGCGCAAAGGCAUUAAGUAAUCCACUGGGGAGUACGUUCGCAAGAAUGAAACUCAAAGGAAUUGACGGGGACCUGCACAAGCGGUGGAGCAUGUGGUUUAUUCGAAGCAACGCGAAGAACCUUACCUGGUCUUGACAUCCCGGUGACGCAUGGGCAAUGCCAUGUUUCCCUCAGGACACCGGAGACAGGUGGUGCAUGGUUGUCGUCAGCUCGUGUCGUGAGAUGUUGGGUUAAGUCCCGCAACGAGCGCAACCCCUAUUUCCAGUAACCAGCAUUUCGGAUGGGGACUCUGGAGAGACUGCCCGGGAGAACCGGGAGGAAGGCGGGGAUGACGUCAAAUCAUCAUGCCCUUUAUGGCCAGGGCGACACACGUGCUACAAUGGCGUAAACAAAGGGAGGCGAAGUGGCGACACGGAGCAAAUCCCAGAAAUAACGUCCCAGUUCGGAUUGUAGUCUGCAACCCGAGUACAUGAAGCUGGAAUCGGUAGUAAUCGCGAAUCAGAAUGUCGCGGUGAAUACGUUCCCGGGUUUUGUACACACCGCCCGUCACACCAUGGGAGUCGGAAAUGCCCGAAGUCAGUGACCCACCCGCAAGGAGGGAGCUGCAGAAGGUGGAGCCGGUAGCUGGGGUGAAGUCGUAACAAGG